AUUCGUGGAAGUUAAAGGGAGAGAAACAAGAACACAAGUCUUUGUUUAGCAAAGGAGAGAGAAAGAAAAGAAAAAAAGGAAGUCUUUUCUUUUUCUUUUUUUUUUUUUUGCUAAACAGGUACUUCUGUUUUCAUGCUGUAGAAAAUUUCACUUUUUUACUUUUUUUUUGUUUGCAAAUUUUCUUUUAGCUGAUUUUGUUGUUUUCUACUGUUUCUUUGAUCUUCAGUUCUGGGUUUUGUAGGUUUUUAAUUUAUGACUGUUUAAAUGAUAGUUGAAACUGUGUAACUGUUAUUUCAAUUGUUUUUUGUAAGUGUUUAAUGUGCAAAAGGGUUUUAGUUUUUGGGUUUUUUACUGUCUUCUUUGGUAUUUUGCUGUGUAAUUAAGGUAGGUUGAUGAGAUUUAUUGUGUUUUAUGGGAUUAAAAGACUUGGGUUGACUUUAAUCUUGGUAGUUUUUACUUGAACAGUUUGUUUUUCUUUGAUAUGGUUUCUUAUUUUCUUGUCUCUUCAUGAACAGUUUUUGCUACCUUUCUCUUCUAAAUUUUCUUUUGUAUGAAAAAUUGUCUGUCAAGACAGACUGUAGUAAACCCUAUAUUUAUCUAACAGAAAUCUAGAUCUAGGUUUCAGAAUUAAGGUGUUCGGUGUUAUUAUGAAUUGAUUAUCUUAUCAUUCUUUAGUGGUUCUAGAAAAGGAUUAUGAACUUUGACUUUUAAUUCUCAUAUUUUUCUUUGGUUUUAUUUUUGCAAUACAUGUCUCAUUGGCUCUGCUUACUAAUUAUAUUGCUGAAAAUUCUUUCUUUUAUAUAUCAGUCUCUUUGUUCUGUUAGUCUGCUAUGUCAAUCUGUUUUAAUACCUUCACUUCUUACCUUGACUAUUCAUUUGACAGAGCUUCUGCUGGUGAUUUGAUUAUUUAGAGGGGUUUUUUUUCCCCACUGAUGUUCCAGAAUCGAGAUUGUGGUAUAUAUAACAGUUGCAGAUCAAAUGCCAUCUCUAAGAAUGAAGACCAAAUCAAGCACGGGAUCUUUAAGAGAAAAAAAUGGUCUACGCGUGUGCCAGAGGUCUAGCAUGAUUUGCAAGAGACCAUGCUGUCAUGUCAGGCUUUCUCAGCAAGGAACUGAAUUCUGUACAUGUAUUCAAAAUUCUCACGAUGAUUCAUCAAAUAUAGAAGUAGCCUCUCAAGUUUUUGAAACUGAUGGAGCCAGUGCUCAGCAACUAAAUUUGGAUGAAGACGAUUCUGAGCUGCAGAAACAGCUUUCAGCUUUUGUUGAUUCUGCAACUGUGGUGAGAAUGGAAUCUGCCCAAACGUGUGCCACAAACUUAGAGACAAUAUUCUCUCCUUUACUGGAGCCAAUCCAAAUAUACAGUGAACUAAAUAUUGACAAUGAUAUAGGGAGUAAUGAUGGCCCUGAAGUGCCAGCAUUAGGGGCUGAUGACAGUGAUGAUAGCAAAAGCUCAUUUGGCAGUCAAACAUGUAAUGUAUCAGAUUUCUUUAUAUCUGACAUGAUAAUCGCGAGCAUACCCUUUGAUGGAAAUGCUGUUGAUGAUAACAUCUCUGGAAUCAAUUCUUUUCCUGAUUUCAAGUGUUCCGAGCCAAGUAUGUUGUUUGAUGUGGCUGAGCAAUACAUGAUACUGCCUUUCCUUGAGGACACUGUCAAAACCAAUGAUAUAAAUGAUGUUAAUUUGCAUGAGGAAGCCAUGAUGGCUCAAGAUGAUACUGGUUUAUGUCUGGCAAUUGAUCAGAUAAGACCCUGCAUACAGGAAUCUGAUGUUAACUCCGACUCUGAUCAAGCAGAUGACUUUGAUCCACAAUCAUUUAUAAAAAAUUUACCAGAACUAUCUGAUGUUGUAUCAAGCUUCCAGCCUGCUAUGGUUCCUACGAAGGCUUGGAGAAGGAAGCCCAUAACUCUUGUGCUUGAUUUGGAUGAAACACUCGUUCACUCUACACUGGAACAUUGUGAUGAUGUGGACUUCACCUUUACGGUCUUUUUCAACAUGAGAGAGCACACUGUGUAUGUAAAGCAGAGGCCUCACCUACAGACUUUUUUGGAGAAAGUGGCAGAGAUGUUUGAAGUUAUCAUCUUUACUGCCAGCCAAAGCAUUUAUGCAGAACAAUUACUGGACAUAUUGGACCCAGAUCGAAAGCUCAUAUCUCGGCGGGUUUAUCGUGAAUCUUGCAUUUUUUCAGAUGGAAGUUAUACUAAAGACUUGACGGUUUUAGGUGUUGAUCUUGCAAAAGUUGCUAUAAUUGAUAAUUCUCCACAGGUUUUCAGGUUGCAAGUGAAUAACGGGAUUCCUAUUAAGAGUUGGUUUGAUGACCCAUCUGAUUGUGCACUAAUUUCAUUACUUCCCUUCUUAGAGACUCUGGUUGAUGUUGAUGAUGUCCGUCCUAUCAUUGCCAAGAAAUUUGGUAAUUUACUCAUUUGCAACACUUGGACCUGUGCCAUAAAUGAGUGGUCCAAUUGUGUUGUGUACAAGAAUCUAGAUGCAAAGACUUAAAAGAUAGGAACGGAUCCAAAGUUGGAAACAAUGAGAUAAUCUGGGGUUUUACAGUGCAAGAUUUUCUCAAUAAGAGCUACUUCCUGGUUAGGUGGCUCCUUCAGCUUUGCUUAGAUUAUAAGAAGAUUAUGGAAUGAAGAUCAUAUUGCCUUCUGCGAAAUUGGAGAAUUCAAGAGAAAAGGUCGUAUGAUGAACAUUACUAGAUUAUCUGCUAAUGGCAAAAUAAUAGGUACGCGGAAUUCCGUUGCUCAUUAAUUAUUCUUCUGAAUUUUCUUUAUAUAGCUACUGACCAUGUAUGAUCCUGACAUUCGUUUUUUCCCCUUUGAAUUUCUGAAGUGACUAUAAGAACAAAUUGAGAGAUGAAAGUAAAUUUUGAGAUGAUAAAGAUAAUUGUCAUUUAUGCUUUCAAGUUAUUUUUUCCUCCAAUUUCUCCUACUUUAUGUCAUAUGGUAGAAGGUGAUUUAAUUCUGCUUUUAGAGGUCGGCAGAGCUACUUGGUAACUUUGAACCAUGUAAAAGUUUCACAUAACUGCUAAUUUUCUUAAAAAUUGUACUUUUUAAACUAUUUUGAACUGAAUGCCGUUUGGCAUUGUGUAAUUGUUGUAAUUUCUUCACUACCACUUCUUUAUUACUGCAUUGAUUGAGGUUGUCUUCAUUUGUUUAAAUUUAGUUGUAUUCCGAUUCUAAAAUAAGCAUGCAUCGUCCCGCAGCAACCCUUUCAUAUCAUUGACGUUUUUUUCUCAUGAUCUAAAACCGGCUUAUCAGGUUUAUAUUUCACUCUAUUGAAAAUAUCUGAAUCCAGGCUUCUAGUACCCAGAAGAGAGCUCCAUUAGAUGUUGCGGCAGGGCAGCAUCAGUCAGGCGUUAGCCUAGAUGACUAACAAGUGGCAAUACCUCAUAUUCUGCUGUCCGUGCUUGAAUCCAUUCUCCUGCCCUCUACUUUCCUCCCACAGAAUAAUGAAUUAAAUGAAGCCAUCAUUUUAGAUCGAGAUAGCGGAAUCUGAAUGUAGAUUUAGAACCAAGUUCAGCGUA